rnacentral:misc_RNA from 1 species
AGAAGGGGUAAAAAAAAUUUAUAUAAAGUCGUCUGACCACCAUAUUAAAACAUAUAGAAUCUUGCCGGUAUUGAUUCGAACUGGACAGAAGUGGAGUCUUGACUUCAAAUGUCAGAUUAAAAAUUGUUUUUAUGCUGAUGUACUGGAGUUCGCGAUGGAACGUAUCUGGACUUCAAGAGACAAGAGUGAUGUACUGGAGUUCGCGAUGGAACGUAUCUGGACUUCGAGAGACAAGAGUGGGUCCAGUGUUUUCGAGUUCGUAUAUUUCUACUCUUUUGGUAGGCCUUGCGCUACAAGAUGCUGCUAACAGUUUACCAGCUUUCGACGUUGUGAUUUGUUCUAGGAUGCAUCAGGUGGAUUCCGUACCUUAUGUGCUGAGUUGGUGGGUUUGCCGUUCGUCGUGUUGGAAAUGUGGCAUUCGAGUGGCGCUGUGCCGCUGUUCUAGCAUUGAUCUGCUGUGGCGAUUAUCUGCAGACGUUUCCUUAUGGGUCUGGUGUCACGUUCACCGUAGGCUCGCAACGGCGUGUGGAGGUCUUAUCGAACUGUAUGUUUCCAGGCUUCAGGUGUUUUGCUGGGAGAGGGGGAUGUUGAUUCAGUUAUUCGGCGUGUGCGGGGUGCGGCUAUUACUUCAUACCGUGCAGUUUCCCUUGCUGUUGUCGUGGUUUGCUGUGGCAAAUUGCUGUCGGCAUAUCGUCAUGGCGCCAUCUUGGGAUCGAAUCGGUUGAAGAUCCAGCUAUGGAGCCGUUGGUUUGCGUCCUAGAUGGCCUUUCUUUCCCCCGGUUCUGUUCGACUAGUUGCUAACAUCCAAUCGUGUUACCGCUCCUUUCUAUAUAAUCGACGGGAUUAGGUAUCUCAUUUAGCGGUUCUUGCUCUUUAAGCUGGGGCUACGACUUGUUCUUUUCCGGAAUGAUGAAUUGGUCAUUGGUACGUGUUUAUGAUCAAAUGAUUUUAUUAUUUUCUCUUGUUUUUGUUUUUUUUGUUUUGGGCUGUGGAGUUUCUAAUUUUUUAUUUUUAAAUGGCAGGUCAUUUGUUUCAUCGCCGUAAAUGCCUUGUGUUCUAGGUAUGUAUUUUUCAAUCAUUUUUCUGUCUUGUGUGUUAAGGAUGAAAAAUCUAAACAUCAGAGCAUUGGGAUAUGAAUCACAAUGAUUUUUGUUAUUUCUGACAUUGUACAGGAGGUAGUGUUUGUUCGUUUCUUGAAACAAAUUGUAAAUUUCGGUUUUCUUAAGAAUUGCGACGUGGGGCCGUCGAUGGAUAUGUAAUCGGGAUUUCACUGAUGCAGUUGCUGUGGAAAUUGGUUACGUACAACAUUCUUGGUAUGCUGCUUGGCGUGGGUGUCAUUCAAUUCGGGAAUUGUCUGGAUUAAGGCGGACGAACUGGUUUAUGAUCAGCUUGAAUUUUUGUUUUGCGACAUUGAAUUUUUUACCGUUUGCAUCAAUAUGUUCUAGUGUGUAAAAUUUGAAUACAUAUUUAGUUAUUUGAG